rnacentral:rRNA from 1 species
AGAGUUUGAUCAUGGCUCAGAUUGAACGCUGGCGGCAGGCCUAACACAUGCAAGUCGAACGGUAACAGGAAGAAGCUUGCUUCUUUGCUGACGAGUGGCGGACGGGUGAGUAAUGUCUGGGAAACUGCCUGAUGGAGGGGGAUAACUACUGGAAACGGUAGCUAAUACCGCAUAACGUCGCAAGACCAAAGAGGGGGACCUUCGGGCCUCUUGCCAUCGGAUGUGCCCAGAUGGGAUUAGCUAGUAGGUGGGGUAACGGCUCACCUAGGCGACGAUCCCUAGCUGGUCUGAGAGGAUGACCAGCCACACUGGAACUGAGACACGGUCCAAACUCCUACGGGAGGCAGCAGUGGGGAAUAUUGCACAAUGGGCGCAAGCCUGAUGCAGCCAUGCCGCGUGUAUGAAGAAGGCCUUCGGGUUGUAAAGUACUUUCAGCGGGGAGGAAGGGAGUAAAGUUAAUACCUUUGCUCAUUGACGUUACCCGCAGAAGAAGCACCGGCUAACUCCGUGCCAGCAGCCGCGGUAAUACGGAGGGUGCAAGCGUUAAUCGGAAUUGCUGGGCGUAAAGCGCACGCAGGCGGUUUGUUAAGUCAGAUGUGAAAUCCCCGGGCUCAACCUGGGAACUGCAUCUGAUACUGGCAAGCUUGAGUCUCGUAGAGGGGGGUAGAAUUCCAGGUGUAGCGGUGAAAUGCGUAGAGAUCUGGAGGAAUACCGGUGGCGAAGGCGGCCCCCUGGACGAAGACUGACGCUCAGGUGCGAAAGCGUGGGGAGCAAACAGGAUUAGAUACCCUGGUAGUCCACGCCGUAAACGAUGUCGACUUGGAGGUUGUGCCCUUGAGGCGUGGCUUCCGGAGCUAACGCGUUAAGUCGACCGCCUGGGGAGUACGGCCGCAAGGUUAAAACUCAAAUGAAUUGACGGGGGCCCGCACAAGCGGUGGAGCAUGUGGUUUAAUCCGAUGCAACGCGAAGAACCUUACCUGGUCUUGACAUCCACGGAAGUUUUCAGAGAUGAGAAUGUGCCUUCGGGAACCGUGAGACAGGUGCUGCAUGGCUGUCGUCAGCUCGUGUUGUGAAAUGUUGGGUUAAGUCCCGCAACGAGCGCAACCCUUAUCCUUUGUUGCCAGCGGUCCGGCCGGGAACUCAAAGGAGACUGCCAGUGAUAAACUGGAGGAAGGUGGGGAUGACGUCAAGUCAUCAUGACCCUUACGACCAGGGCUACACACGUGCUACAAUGGCGCAUACAAAGAGAAGCGACCUCGCGAGAGCAAGCGGACCUCAUAAAGUGCGUCGUAGUCCGGAUUGGAGUCUGCAACUCGACUCCAUGAAGUCGGAAUCGCUAGUAAUCGUGGAUCAGAAUGCCACGGUGAAUACGUUCCCGGGCCUUGUACACACCGCCCGUCACACCAUGGGAGUGGGUUGCAAAAGAAGUAGGUAGCUUAACCUUCGGGAGGGCGCUUACCACUUUGUGAUUCAUGACUGGGGUGAAGUCGAAACAAGGUA